UUUAAGGAGGGGCUCGCGUACCAUUAGCUUGUUGGUGGGGUAAUGGCCUACCAAGGCUACGAUGGUUAGCUGGUCUGAGAGGAUGAUCAGCCACACUGGAACUGAAACACGGUCCAGACUCCUACGGGAGGCAGCAGUGAGGAAUUUUGCGCGAUGGGGGAAACCCUGACGCAGCAACGCCGCGUGAGUGAAGAAGGCUUUCGGGUCGUAAAGCUCUGUCAAGUGGGAAAAAGGAACCAUGGUAAAUAGCCAUGGGACUUGAUGGUACCACUGGAGGAAGCACCGGCUAACUCCGUGCCAGCAGCCGCGGUAAUACGGAGGGUGCAAGCGUUGAUCGGAAUUAUUGGGCGUAAAGAGCGUGUAGGCGGUAUGGUAAGUCAGAUGUGAAAGCCCUGGGCUCAACCCAGGAAGUGCAUUUGAUACUGCCAUUCUUGAGUAUGGGAGAGGAGAGUGGAAUUCCCAGUGUAGAGGUGAAAUUCGUAGAUAUUGGGAGGAACAUCCGUGGCGAAGGCGACUCUCUGGACCAAUACUGACGCUGAGACGCGAAAGCGUGGGGAGCAAACAGGAUUAGAUACCCUGGUAGUCCACGCCGUAAACGAUGAGAACUAGGUGUAGCGGGUAUUGACCCCUGCUGUGCCGAAGUUAACGCAUUAAGUUCUCCGCCUGGGGAGUACGGCCGCAAGGCUAAAACUCAAAUUGACGGGGACCCGCACAAGCGGUGGAGCAUGUGGUUUAAUUCGACGCAACGCGAAGAACCUUACCUGGAUUUGACAUCCUCUGACAACCCUGGAAACAGGGCCUUUCCGACUUGUCGGAACAGAGUGACAGGUCUGCAUGGCUGUCGUCAGCUCGUGUCGUGAGAUGUUGGGUUAAGUCCCGCAACGAGCGCAACCCUCGUUUUUAGCUGCCAGUAUUCAGUUAGGCACUCUAAAGAUACUGCCUCGGUUAACGGGGAGGAAGGUGGGGAUGACGUCAAGUCCUCAUGGCCUUUAUAUCCAGGGCUACACACGUGCUACAAUGGGCUGUACAAAGGGUUGCCACUCCGCGAGGAGGCGCUAAUCUCAAAAAGCAGCUCUCAGUUCGGAUUGGAGUCUGCAACUCGACUCCAUGAAGGUGGAAUCGCUAGUAAUCGUGGAUCAGCAUGCCACGGUGAAUACGUUCCCGGGUCUUGUACACACCGCCCGUCACACCACGAAAGUCGGCUGUACCAGAAGUUGCU
rnacentral:rRNA from 1 species